ACUAAAAUAUUGUUCCAGUGUGUGAGAUGUUACAUCUGGUGUAUUUCACCUGGUGGUUUUGAACCAUAUAAUAUUUAUAUAAAUAAUUACCCACUGAACGAAUAAAUUGCAGGAAGAAGGGUUACACUGCUGACAUCAUUGAGACUCAGAAGAGGUAUUUUUCAUCUUCUAAUCUCAUUUAUUUAUUUAUUAUUUUUUAAUUAACACGGAAAAAAAAACCCACCGGGACUUAAUUUGGUUUCGCAGCUACAACGAGACCACCAUAGUGAUGGAUGCACCUGCAGCAGAGCACGAUGGGUGCAAGUGCGGCUCCAGCUGCUCGUGCACCACCUGCACCUGCGGCCACUGAAGCCUCACCGUACUAAUACUAUGGACGCACCCGUAUGAUUAUAAUAGUUGUGUCGAAUAAGUUUGUAAUGUUUCUCGUUUGGGUCGAAAACGUGUGAUGAGUGUUGUGCCAAAAUUUGUGAUCCCUCUUAGGUUCACAACUAUGUAAUAGUUUGCAUCUCACCACGUUUAAUUAAUCUUAUGUUAUAAUUAAUCGGUUUGAUUUUAUAGUGUCUUAUUAUAUCUCGU
rnacentral:lncRNA from 1 species